GCCGAGUUGGGUAACACCAGCUUGUAACCCAAGUGGGGGCGUCAAGGUGAUGGGACAGCUUCGUGGCUUGCUGGGUCAGAUUGAUCUGUGCAAUUUAGCUGGCUUGCCCACUCCAAGUUGAGAGUUGAGGCAUGGAACUUGAGCUAAGGCACAGGUUUCAUGACUCUUAGACCAGAGGGCACAGCGUGAGGCUGGCUUCACAGAGCAGCGACCACCUCUUGCUCCCAACAGUGGAGGGAUUACAGGCUGCUGUACUAUCAGUCCACCAUAGGCCUGGUGAACUUAGUUGCCUGGACCAUCACCUUU